AAAGUGAAGCUGGUGGAGGGUGCCUGAUCUGGCCGCUGCCAGGGGCGGGCGGGACGGCGCACCAUGUACACUAUCACCAAGGGGCCCAGCAAGCUGGUCGCGCAGCGCCGCACAGGUGCGCAGGGCGGGCGGGCAGGCGGGACGUCCUGACCGCUGGCUCGCGGCGGCUGACAGCGCCCUCCGCCCCGGCCCGCAGGUCCCACACAGCAGCAGGUGGAGAGCAGGCUUGGCGAGCUCCUGAAAUGCCGGCAGCCGGUGCCGCCGACCGCGCUACCCGCGCACCUGCAGCCCUCGGCACAGACUCAGGGACCCUGGCCCCUUGCAAGUGCCCCUCUCACCUGAGGAGGAACCCAGAGCGGCGUGGGGCACCUGAGCCCAGGAAGGCGAGCAGGCCUGCCGGGACCGCGAGUGCCUGGCGGAGUGGCAGGUGCAGCCCAGGACUCCCACCUCCUACUGUAGUUCUGGGCCAAGACUUGUAUUCAAUCGAGUAAACGGCCGGCGACCCCUCACCACCUCCCCAUCCCUCGAGGGGACCCAAGAGACCUACACAGUGGCCCACGAGGAGAACGUCCGAUUUGUGUCCGAAGCCUGGCAGCAGGUAGAGCGACAACUGGAUGGCGGCCCUGCCGAUGAGAGUGGCCCACGGCCUGUGCAGUAUGUGGAGAGCACUCCUGAUCCCCGGCUACAGAACUUUGUACCUAUUGACCUCGAUGAGUGGUGGGCACAGCAGUUUCUGGCUAAAAUCACCAACUGUUCCUAGCAGCUGUCCGGGAAGGAAUGUUGCCAUAGUGGACCCUUUGCCAGAAGAGGACCAUGGUGCGCCGAUCCACCUUGUGGCCUGGCUGGGUACCGGCCACACCUGAAGUGCCAACAUUUGGACUUUUGCACCUGUUGUUCCCUUGGCUUGGCUGUCCCAAGCUGCCAGAGCCAGGGGCCAAACCUGUCUAACCUCAGUCCUGCUCACUGUGCCCAGGGACCAGCCCCUGGGGCUGGCAGGGAGGAGUUCAGGCUAAUAAAGUUGAGAAACUGCC